GUUAUAUGGUCAAGUGAAGAAGCGCAUACGGUGGAUGCCUUGGCAGUCAGAGGCGAUGAAAGACGUGGUAGCCUGCGAUAAGCUUUGGGGAGUCGGCAAACAGACUGUGAUCCAGAGAUCUCUGAAUGGGGGAACCCACUCAGCAUAAGCUGAGUAUCUUGUACUGAAUACAUAGGUGCAAGAGGCGAACCAGGGGAACUGAAACAUCUAAGUACCCUGAGGAAAAGAAAUCAACCGAGAUUCCCUUAGUAGUGGCGAGCGAACGGGGACCAG
rnacentral:rRNA from 1 species